UCUCUAUCUCUAUCUCUGUCUGUCUCUUUCUCUGUCUCGGUCUGACUGUCUCUCUCUGUCUCUGUCUCUAUCUCUGCUUCUGUCCGGAGACUGGGCUGGGGGCUGGGGCAGAGCCUACGAUGGCCUGGAGGCGAGAGACUGGACAAGAUGACCUCAGGAGAGCCUGGCCCUUGUCCUGGAAUCUGGGAUUCUGCGAUUCACCAAGAUAGGGCUGCAGACAGAUGGACGGGAGGCUGGAGGCCAGCUCAGAGCCUCGCACGGCGGGGAGGCUGGAGGCUGGAGGCUGGGAAGACCCAAGAAUUUGAAAUUUGAAGGAACAAAACCGACACAUGAGAACUUCCAGAUCAUCUACUCCCAGAUCUGCCAGGUCACACUUGGCGAUGCUCAGGAAUCACUCCUGGCUCUACAUUCAGGAAUCAUUCCUGGCGGUCCUCGGCGGGACCAUAUGGGAUUCAGGGAACUGAGCCCAGGUCAGGGUAGCGCCAUCUUCUCGUACCACGAGAGCUAAGUGGAGGAAGAAGCGAACGCAUAGGCUGAAGCGCAGAAGAAGACAGACGAGGCAGAGGCCCAAGGAAACUGUGAGCUGGUGCCCCGUGGAGGCCGCAGGAGCAGAUGCAUAGCAUGGCAGAGGCCCAGGACGUUGGCAGAAACUACUAACACACGUGUUCUCCUGAAGUCAUCUCACUGGAUCGGGACAUUUCAUUGCUGCCACCAUCUUUGAGAGACAGACCCUCCAAUCCAGUCCCCUUCCAGUCCUUUGCCGUCAACCUAACAUCCUGGACGAAUUAUGGCUUCUUUUUUUUUCUCUUUUGGUCACACCCAGCAAUGUACAGGGGUUACUCCUAGUUCGUGCACUCAGUAAUUACUCCUGGUGGUGCUCAGGGAACCAUAUGGGAUGCUGGGAAUUGAACCUGGGUCGACCGAGUGCAAGGCAAAUGCGCUACCCACUGUGCUAUCUCUCCAGCCCCGAGUUAUGUUCUUGACUGGCUGAAUAUAACAUAUGCACAGCAAAUCAUCCAUUCUGUCUUGGCUGAAGAUUUCUUUUUAAAUUGAAUUUUAGG